AGGGCUCAAUCUCAAUUUUACCUCUCCUGUCUCUUCUCAGCUUGAGGAAUCACAUCGGCGAGGAAAUUGGAGGAGGAGAUUGCUGGUAUCACCUGACUGUGGACAUCUGAAAAACAGAAGCCCUUCUGUCCCAGGUGGGAGGGUUCUAUGGCAAUAUGGUGGAUGAAAAGGAAUGAAGUAAGCGGGACACCCAAAUGAAACCCUCUGCUGACUCGUUCAACUUCAAAACCUUUUUUGCCAAAUUUGGGCUGAACUCCAAGACCAGUGAACAGAUGGCUCAGGUGUUUAGGAUUCUGGACCAGGAUAGGAGUGGAUUCAUUGAGGAAGAGGAACUCAAGUAAACAAGGGCUCUUCCUGCAGAAUUUUUCUUCAAGUUCCAGAGCUCUGACUGAUGCAGGAACCAAGGCAUUUUUGGCAGCGGUGACAGUGAUGGUGAUGGCAAAAUUGGGGUGGAUGGUGAGAGAGAUCCCUUUGGGAAAUGGGCCUUAUGGAUGGGGGAAACCCUUGCAUGUCACCGCCCAUGUUUUUAUCUCGUUGUGACUUUAAAACUAAUUUAUCUUCAGCCUGAAUGCCU